GACGAAGGGGGCUAGCGUUGUUCGGAAUUACUGGGCAUAAAGCGCGUGUAGGCGGUUGUUCAAGUCAGGUGUGAAAGCCUUGAGCUCAACUCAAGAAAUGCACUUGAUACUGGAUGACUAGAGGACCGGAGAGGAUAGUGGAAUUCCCAGUGUAGUGGUGAAAUACGUAGAGAUUGGGAAGAACACCAGUGGCGAAGGCGGCUAUCUGGACGGUUUCUGACGCUAAGACGCGAAAGCGUGGGGAGCAAACAGG
rnacentral:rRNA from 1 species